UUGACCUCGGAUCAGGUAGGGAUACCCGCUGAACUUAAGCAUAUCAAUAAGCGGAGGAAAAGAAACCAACAGGGAUUGCCCCAGUAACGGCGAGUGAAGCGGCAAGAGCUCAAAUUUGAAAGCUGGCUCCUUCGGGGUCCGCAUUGUAAUUUGCAGAGGAUGCUUCGGGAGCGGUCCCCAUCUAAGUGCCCUGGAACGGGACGUCAUAGAGGGUGAGAAUCCCGUAUGGGAUGGGGUGUCCGCGCCCGUGUGAAGCUCCUUCGACGAGUCGAGUUGUUUGGGAAUGCAGCUCUAAAUGGGUGGUAAAUUUCAUCUAAAGCUAAAUAUUGGCCGGAGACCGAUAGCGCACAAGUAGAGUGAUCGAAAGAUGAAAAGCACUUUGAAAAGAGAGUUAAAAAGCACGUGAAAUUGUUGAAAGGGAAGCGCUUGCGACCAGACUCGCUCGCGGGGUUCAGCCGGCAUUCGUGCCGGUGUAUUUCCCCGCGGGCGGGCCAGCGUCGGUUUGGGCGGUCGGUCAAAGGCCCUCGGAAGGUAACGCCCCUAGGGGCGUCUAUAGCCGAGGGUGCAAUGCGACCUGCCUAGACCGAGGAACGCGCUUCGGCUCGGACGC
rnacentral:rRNA from 1 species